GCCGCCGUGCACGCCAUGGGAUCCGUGACUGACGAUGAAGUUAUACUGAAGAGUCUCCUAAUUGAUGGAGAUGGUGCUGGAGAUGAUCGGAGAAUUAAUCUGCUAGUGAAAAGUUUCAUUAAAUGGAGCAACUCUGGAUCCCAGGAAGAGGGAUACAGCCAGUACCAACAUAUGCUGAGUACACUGUCCCAAUGUGAAUUUUCAAUGGGCAAAACACUGCUGGUAUAUGAUAUGAACCUCAGAGAAAUGGAAAAUUAUGAAAAGAUAUACAAAGAAAUAGAAUGUAGCAUUGCUGGAGCACAUGAAAAAAUUGCUGAGUGCAAAAAGCAAAUUCUUCAAGCAAAACGAAUACAAAAAAAUCGCCAAGAAUAUGAUGCUUUGGCAAAAGUGAUCCAGCAUUGUCCAGACAGGCAUGAGACACUAAAGGAACUGGAGGCUCUGGGAAAAGAAUUAGAGCACCUUUCACAUAUUAAAGAAAGUGUUGAGGAUAAGCUAGAAUUGAGACAGAAACAGUUUCACGUUUUUCUUAGUACCAUCCACGAACUUCAGCAAACACUGGAAAAUGAUUAAAAGCUCUCUGAAGUAGAAGCAGCUCAGGAAAUAAGCAUGGAAGCAGAUCCUAAGCCACAGACAAGCUAAUCGCUCAGCAUUCCCAAGAUGAAGUAGCACCAGGGUCUUAGUGCGUUUGGAAUUUGUGUGCUCUUGAGAUAUUUAAAGUUUUGACAGUGAACUACUUUGCUUUUAGAUAUUAAUGUACAGUUCAUUCAUAUUUCUUCACACAG